AUGGCGUCCUCCUACCCCAGCAGGCCCAACCACCGGGGCGGCGGCGUGCACAACCACGGGGGUGGCGGCCGCGGGCACAACGGCGGGCACGGCUACGGCCACCACUACAACGGGAACGGCGGCGGGCGCGGGGGCCGGGGCGGCCACCACCACCGCUGGAACGACUACGGACGAGGCGGCCACCACCACGGGUACGGCUACGGGGGCGGCCACCACCAGCAACAAGGGUACGGCUACGGGGGCGGCGGCCACCACGCGUACGGGUACGGCUACGGCGGCGGCGGCGACGGGAUGUUCCACCACAACUACGGCGUCCCCGGCUACGGCAUGGGCCCGAGCCGCCCGCUGCCGGUGCCGCCCACGAGCCACCCCCACGCGCCCGGCGUCGCGCCAGCGCCAGCGCCGUCCACGAGCCACCCCCACGCGCCCGGCCCCGGCUUGGUCCCGGACGAGCGGCCGCGCUGGAUAACGCUGAUGGCGCCGCGGAGGCGGCCCCCGGUCAUCCCGCCGCCGCUGCGGGCCGCGGAGGCGGCCGCCCGCGAGGUGGUGCUGCGGCUGCACCCGACGGAGGAGGCGGAGCGGCGCCGGCACAAGGUCAUCGACUACGCCAAGAACCUCAUCGGCACCACCUUCGGGUGCGAGGUGUUCCCGUUCGGGUCGGUGCCCCUGAAGACAUACCUCCCCGAUGGUGAUGUCGACAUCACCAUAAUCACGAACACCAACUUGGACGACAGCUUCGUCCAGGACGUCUGUUGUUUGCUCGCAACCGAACAGAGCAGCGACGAUGCCGAGUUUGCGCUGAGGGACAUUCAGGUCAUCAACGCAAAGGUCAAGAUAAUCAAAUGUGUUAUCGACAACCUUGUGAUGGACAUCUCCUUCAACCAAGUCGGCGGUGUGUCCACCCUCUGUUUCCUUGAGCUGGUCAACAAAGAGGUCGGGAAGGACCAUCUCUUCAAGCGGAGCAUCAUCCUGAUCAAGGCUUGGUGUUACCACGAGGGUAACAUUCAUGGAUCUAACCAUUGGUUGAUGUCUACGUACGCAUUGGAGGUGUUGAUUCUGUACAUCUUCAACCUUUUCCACAGCUCGAUACAUGGCCCUUUGCAGGCCCUCUACAAGUUUCUGCUGUACUACAGCAAGUUUGAUUGGGACAACCAGUGCCUUACUUUAAAUGGCCCUGUCCCCCUGCGCAACGACGCCGCUGGGCUUGCUGCCGCAAAUGAGGAAUUACUGCUGAGCAAGGAGCCCCUCAAGCGCUCACUGCGUAAGCUUUUUGAGCUUCCAGCAGAUUCUGAUAGGCGUGACCCAGACUUACGCCUGAAGUACCUCAACAUUGUUGACCCCUUGAAGGGGGAUAACAACCUCGGCACAAGUAUCAGCGAAGCAAACUCUCGUGUCAUCCGGGAUGCCUUUGCAGCUGGCGCAGAGAAGCUCGGAAAAAUUCUCAGGCUGCCUUGCGAACGUAUUGCGGAAGAAGUCUAUGUGUUUUUUACACAUACGUUGCGUAAACAUGGACGGGGCGAAAGGCAGGACCUUGGAGAAAGUGUGUCCCAGUCCAUGCCUGAGCCUGGAAAUGCACGUGGCGAAGAUGUGUCCGGCCUGGGAACUUCUUGCAUGGAUGAAGACGAAAAGAGAAUUCAUCGGAUCUCAGGUUCAACCAACUUCAGGAGCCACUCCGAUCUAUCCUCUUCCUCGGAGAAUGGUCACGAGGUUCCUGGUUCUAACCCUUUUAACGGGUCAAACCGGAACGGUGUCCAUCAAGAGAAGGUGCAGCUUCCUCCUUUCACGCCGGUGAACCUACUGGACCUCUCAGGGCAUGUGAAUUUACACAUGAGAUGCAUACGAAGUGUUCAGUACAACUUGGAGGCCAUGCACGAUAAGCUCCUCAAGUCGGUUAUAGAGGCGUCUUCAGCAGGUGUGCUGGAUGAGGAUCGCUUUGUAGUUCCACCUCUGCGCCCUGCUCCGAGGCCAACUUCAUGCCCGCGGCCGCCUCCUUCUCUCGGCACGGCAGUUGUUCCUCGGCAACCGAUCACUGAGCGCCAAGUUGAACCGGAAUAUCUGCCGUCACCUCGUACCCACAUUCCACCCAAUGGAUUCUCGGCCUAUCCCCCUUUUGCUGGUCCUUGGUUUCCAAACACCGAGGACAUGUCUCAGACUUAUGGAGCUAGCACUUACGUGCAUAACAUGAACUACUCGAUGCCUUUCGGAAUAGAUGCUUUCUCCAGCGGGGUGGCAUUCUAUCCAGCUAUGUGGGAUUUCCCUCAAUCACGUGGAACAGGCACAUACAUCCCCAGAACAGGUUGGAACAGGGACAAGUCGUGGAAUGAUAGGGGAAGGAUGCAAAGGCAGCGGCAAUCAGACCAGGGUUACGGAGAAGGGAGACCGGAUGUUGCCUCAAGCAAUGGGCAUGUUGCGGGCGCAAGCGCAGCAGGACUAACAUUGACGAUGCGAGGUAACCCACACCAGGGUGCCUCUUCAAGCACAACCCCUUCAAGCAACAAUGAGCAGAGGUCUGAGAAUGGGUGGGUGGUGACACGGAUGCCGCCGAGGAUCACGAUUCCUCGUCAUGGCAGCGGCAGCCAGCCCUCUUCACCUGCUGUGGUGAUCACACCUGUCGUCACGGCGGAACAGCAUGGGAACUUGGAGUUCGGAACCAUGGGGCCUUUCUCAGUGGCUCGUCAAAACUCCGUGUUCGAUGAACAAUUCCCUGCUCUCCAAGAAACAACAAGGCAGGGACAACAAGGCCCGCAGAGGAGCCCCAGGCCAGGCGCGGGUGCAACCCCCAGGAGCUGGCCUGCAGAAGCCUCUGGGUCAGCAAUGCAGAGCCCUAGACCCGGUGUGACUAUGAGCCAAAGCUGGCCCAACCUGCCGGCACAUAGCCCCAUGCCUGUUGUGCGUACAAUCCAGAGCUGGCCCCACGUGCCAUCCCCCAGGCCUGGUGUGGGUGCGGCCCAAAACGGGCCCGUAGGAUCCCCCGCUGCCUCCACAUCGCAGAGCCCUCGGCCCGGUACCAGUGCGGCCCAAAACAGGGCUGCCGGGCCUUACCAGCUGCAAGACGACGCUGACUUCCCUCCCCUGGCGACCGAGAACCCGUACGAUGCUGACUUCCCUCCUCUCCAAGCUGCGGCCCGCCGCUGA
rnacentral:rRNA from 1 species